AACGAACGCUGGCGGCAGGCUUAACACAUGCAAGUCGAACGCACCUUUCGGGGUGAGUGGCAGACGGGUGAGUAACGCGUGGGAAUCUACCCUUCUCUACGGGAUAGCUCCGGGAAACUGGAAUUAAUACCGUAUACGUCCUGAGGGAGAAAGAUUUAUCGGGGAAGGAUGAGCCCGCGUUGGAUUAGCUAGUUGGUGGGGUAAAGGCCUACCAAGGCGACGAUCCAUAGCUGGUCUAAGGGGAUGAUCAGCCACAUUGGGACUGAGACACGGCCCAAACUCCUACGGGAGGCAGCAGUGGGGAAUAUUGGACAAUGGGCGCAAGCCUGAUCCAGCCAUGCCGCGUGAGUGAUGAAGGCCCUAGGGUUGUAAAGCUCUUUCAGGGGGGACGAUAAUGACGGUACCCACAGAAGAAGCCCCGGCUAACUUCGUG
rnacentral:rRNA from 1 species